CUACGGGAGGCAGCAGUGGGGAAUAUUGCACAAUGGGCGCAASCCUGAUGCAGCCAUGCCGCGUGUAUGAAGAAGGCCUUCGGGUUGUAAAGUACUUUCAGCGGGGAGGAAGGCGAUWAGGUUAAUAACCUYGUCGAUUGACGUUAYCCGCAGAAGAAGCACCGGCUAACUCCGUGCCAGCAGCCGCGGUAAUACGGAGGGUGCAAGCGUUAAUCGGAAUUACUGGGCGUAAAGCGCACGCAGGCGGUYUGUCAAGUCGGAUGUGAAAUCCCCGGGCUCAACCUGGGAACUGCAUUCGAAACUGGCAGGCUAGAGUMUUGUAGAGGGGGGUAGAAUUCCAGGUGUAGCGGUGAAAUGCGUAGAGAU
rnacentral:rRNA from 1 species